rnacentral:rRNA from 1 species
CGGUCCCAUUCCGAACCCGGAAGUGAAACGUUACUGCGCCGAUGGUAGUUGGGCGAAAGGCCCUGCGAGAGUAGGUCGUUGCCAGUU